GUAUCUGCGGGCAGAUUUGGGAGGCUUUUUGAAGGCCUAGAAAAUUGCAGGCCUUUCUGCCAUUUCGUUGAGGAGAGUGGGAAUGUGGGCCCUGGCGACCCAGCAGCCUGCGGGGUACACCUGACACGGGGGAGUCCGGGUCCCAGGAGAGGAGCGUCAGGCCAAAGCGGUGGGGGGGGGGGGGCGACUGCACAGCAGAGGGUGCUAGAGAGCCUGUCCAGGGGUACGCCUCUGCGCCCGGGUUACCCGCUCAGCUCCCAGGGAGCCAGCCUCUUUCUAAAACAAAGACUAUCCAUCUUUCUGCCCUCCUGCGCUCCGCUGUGGUCUCGCUGUUUCUGUGUGGGAAAACGCUGGAUGGCCCUAUGGAUAAAAUGCUACCUACUGCUACUGUUGUUGCUCAUCAGGUGCCUAUGUGGCAGACUUUCAAACUGAUGUCAAUAUUUAUAUCAAGAACUUACAUCAGUUUACUAAAACUGGGUCACGCCAUCCAUGCUGCAUUGUUGACUUCUGCGUGUACACCAACGUGACUCUCAUGUCAGUUAAUAUGCAUGUCCAAUUACUUUUAUGCCUUUGUCAAAGAUCAUUUAUAUCGUGUUUCCUUCCUAAAACAGAGAGCAGCCCUGAACUAUGCUGGUCAUAUCUGAGCUGACUGCGUCACUCCCGUGCACAUCUUUGAGAACUCCCAAUUCUCUAAACUGAAUAAAAUCCAGGUUUUUCCAUCCCCUUCCCACACAUGCAGAGACAGCCUGUGUCAUUCACCAGCAAGAAAAUAUAUCUUGACCUCUUGGGAUGUGCUAGCGACUGGAAGAAAUGAAAAGAAUGAGGAAAUACAACUCCUGCCUUCAAGAGCUGGAAAUGUGGUCUCGGCCAUGCCAGGUCUGCUGGAUACAAGUCCUCUCACUUCUGUUCCAGUGCUUUGCUGCAGGGAACAGUUUCUGGCCUGCAUAUUAUACACCAGGCGUGGGUGCCAUCCGAACACCCAGAGUCCUAGGGGAAAGGCCCUUGGCUUCUCGCUCUCAAUCCUCUUCCUUUAGGAUGAGAUCGAAAGACUUGCUUUCCCCCACUGUGCAAGGAAAUCCAAAGGACUAAUAAGAGGGCUUUCAUUAAAGGCCUUUGAGGAGGCAUGGUAUAUUGCCAAGACCCUUCUCCACCGCACAGUCACAAUCAUGUUCUUCAGAAAAAGAAAAUCUUGAAAGCAGCAAAGAAAAAUGACACCUUACACAGAGGAGACCAAUCAUUCAAAUGUCCACAAAAUUCUCCUCAGAAAUGGUGGAGGCAGAAGACAGUGGAACAUCUUUACAGUGCUGGAGAAAAACAACACAUUUGUCAACCGAGAAUUUCACCUCCAUGCAUGCAAGUCUUCAGAAAUGAAGGUCAAAGAAUUCCACUUUCAACCAUUAACAAUGAAGAGAUUAGAUUAACCCUUUAGGAAACCAAAGCACUGAAUGAAAUAUACAAAAGGACCAUUUCUGGACAUUGGACAAGAAGCAGCAAGGGACAGAAGAAGUACAUCAGACAAGCUCUAUGACUGUCCUAGUGUGGUGCCUGUGUGGUUUCUAGAAGGCAGCACAGGAGGGAGAACCUGGACAGCUCAGCCGUCUCCCUGAGUUCAGGGGACAGAGUUAAGAGGAGGAAGAGGAGGGUAGAAUUCACAGAGCAGAGUGCUGGGAAGGAAUGCGCUACACAGAGAGUGAUCCAGAGGCCUGUGAAGGGCCCCGUGGCGUCACCUGCUCAAGGCUAUGUGGAAGCCACCCCAGGCCAGGGAAAGAGCUGCUGGAAAGGGCGGUCAGCUCACACAGGGCCAGGAGUCAUUUGUGUCCUUGCCAGCCAGAGUGGGAAAGCGUCACGAUUCAUGGGGUAUUGGGUGCAAACUCAGAAGGCCAUUGCCUCAGUGGUGGGGAAAGGGAAACUCUAGUCUGCUCUUGUGCUACUUGGCAAAGCUUAAAAGCAAGUUUCAAAAGAAUAGAACUAUUUCUAAGUAACUUAUCUGCAACCUGGAAAGAAAAAAAAACACUCAGAAAUUUUUAAUGGAAUACGAAAUUAUCUGGCAUUUGAGAAGGUAAAUUUCACAAUGUCUGGCGUCCAGUCCAAAAUUAUGAACUAUGCAUAAAAGCAGCAAAAUGCAGUCCAUAAUGAGAGCAAAAAUCGUUCAAUGGAAAGAGAGCUAGAUAUGACUGAUUUAGUAGAUGAAAAAUUUAUGACAACUAUUGAGCUUUAAACAGUUAUACUCAAUAUGUUUAAGAGGAGGAGAGCAUGGACUACUUAAGGACAGACAUGGAAAAUUCAUACUUCGGGGCACCUGGGUGGCUCAGUGGGUUAAAGCCUCUGCCUUUAGCUCAGGUCAUGAUCCCAGGGUCCUGGGGUUGAGUCCCACAUAGGCUCUCUGCUCAGCGGGGAGCCUGCUUCCUCCUCUCUCUCUGCCUGCCUCUCUGCCUACUUGUGAUCUCUAUCAAAUAAAUACAAUCUUAAAAAAAAAAAGAAAGAAAAAAGAAAAUACAUAUUUCAAAAGACCCAAAAUACAGUUCUAGAGAAAAAUCUGUGCCUUGGAAAAAAUGUACUAGAAAGAAUCAAUAACAUGUUAGACCUUAUUUAAAAAUGAUCUGGGGGACGCAUCUGCAUGGCUCAGUCCUUAAGCAUCCUGAUCAGGUCAUGAUCCUGGGUCAUGACCCCAGGGUUCUGGGAUCCUGCCCCACAUCUGGCUCUUUGCUCAGUGGGAGGCCUGUUUCUCC